GGAGGGAUGGCUGAGUGGUUUAAAGCAUCGGUCUUGAAAACCGACGUGCCGCAAGGUACCGGGGGUUCGAAUCCCUCUCCCUCCGCCA
rnacentral:tRNA from 1 species